UCUCCCCUCCCUCUCCUUUAACUAUCUUAUUUUUAUCUAAAAACCCAGACCCUAUGCAUUUUUCCCACCAUGUAGCCCUUUUACAUAGGGGCUUUAAUAAAAGUUAAAACCAUAAACUUUUAGUAACAAACAAUUUUUAAAAGUUUUCUCCUAUGUUUUAGACUAGCAAGGGUUAUUUUUUAGUAAGCACAAUUUGAAGCCGCACCUGUGUUGUGCUUAGUUAAAAGUUAAUAUAUGUAUUUUUUUCAAAUAGGACGAGGCCUUUUUUCUUGACAUACCAGAUUCUGCACUAGAAGUUUUCAAUUUUGAACAAGAUGGAAGUCAAAACCAACAGAUAGGUUUUCCUGAGAUUACAGAAGACGGUAUGAACUGUUUUUAAAUAUGUGUUUGAAAUAGUGUACAUUUUUUCCAGGGGUUGUGCAUUAACACGUGUAUUGGGAACUAUGUUUGUUGUUGUUAGUGAAAAAGAAGCUGCCUUUGCUCCAAAGGUUUUACUGUAAAAAAGUUUUGCUGGCAGUUGUUGAGAAUUUGGAGCUGUACUGCACCCAUGUUUCUGCAUGCUCUUUUUUUUAUUACAACACAUGCAAAAGUGCUAAAAUAAAGGGCUGUUUCUUCAUAUAAGUUUGUCUUUUCAAGUGGUUAUUCCUUUACAAAACUUAAUAUAGCUUUCACUUGUAUUUGUUGAAAAGCAGGUGAAGAAGCAGCCUUCUUAUCUCUGAUCCACUGACUCACAGAUGCUAUUUUUGCUAACAGUGGCUUUGUUGGAAAAGCAUGUUGCUUCAAAUUGUUUUUACUAAAAAAUAACCCAUGUUAGUCUAAAACGUAGAAGAAAAUGUUUUUAUCACUAUAAUUUACUUUUAUAAACAAGUUCUCUGUGUUUUUAACCCUGGAAUGUUUCUGCAUGCUCACUUUUAUUGAAACAUAUGCAAAAGUGCUAAAUGAAGGGAUGUGUCUUCAUGUAGGCUUGUCUUUUCAAGUGUUUAUUCCUUUACAAGACUUAAUAUAACUUUCACCUCUAUU